rnacentral:rRNA from 1 species
UACGAGGGGUGCAAGCGUUGCUCGGAAUUAUUGGGCGUAAAGAGCUCGUAGGCGGCUUUGUCAGUCGGGUGUGAAACCUCCAGGCUCAACCUGGAGCCGCCACUCGAUACUGCAAUAGCUAGAGUCCGGUAGGGGAGCAUGGAACUCCUGGUGUAGCGGUGAAAUGCGCAGAUAUCAGGAAGAACACCAGUGGCGAAGGCGGUGCUCUGGGCCGGAACUGACGCUGAGGAGCGAAAGCGUGGGGAGCAAACAGG